GAAAUGUAAAUGAAAAAGCUGCUAACUUAUUUCAAUAAUAAUUUAAUUUAUUAACAUUUCU
rnacentral:tRNA from 1 species